GAACCCGGGGCCACGGCAGUGAAAACGCCAAGUCCUAACCACUGGACCGCCAGGGAACUCUCUAUAUUCACUAAUUUUCAGCCCGGCAUUCCUGUCCCCUCCCAGCUUUAUGAGGACAUCGGCCAGUUCUUGCAAAAUUCCAAGGAAGCAGAAGGACUACCUGAUUGAGACCCAUUUCCCCUGGCUGUGGACUGGCUCUAUUAUCCACAGUUGACGAGCACAGGCUCCGGACGC